rnacentral:rRNA from 1 species
UAGUUGAAAUGGCUUUCCCUCCAGAGUGGAUCCUGAGUACGGCGGAACACGUGAAAUUCCGUCGGAAUCCGGGAGGACCAUCUCCCAAGGCUAAAUACUCCCUAGUGACCGAUAGUGAACCAGUACCGUGAGGGAAAGGUGAAAAGCACCCCGGAAGGGGAGUGAAACAGUUCCUGAAACCGUGUGCCUACAAGUAGUUAGAGCCCGUUAAUGGGUGAUAGCGUGCCUUUUGUAGAAUGAACCGGCGAGUUACGAUUUGUUGCAAGGUUAAGCGGAAAAAGCGGAGCCGUAGCGAAAGCGAGUCUGAAUAGGGCGCAUAAGUAACAGGUCGUAGACCCGAAACCAGGUGAUCUACCCAUGUCCAGGAUGAAGGUAAGGUAAUACUUACUGGAGGUCCGAACCCACGCACGUUGAAAAGUGCGGGGAUGAGGUGUGGGUAGCGGAGAAAUUCCAAUCGAACUUGGAGAUAGCUGGUUCUCUCCGAAAUAGCUUUAGGGCUAGCCUCGAGGUAAAGAGUCAUGGAGGUAGAGCACUGUUUGGACUAGGGGCCCUUCUCGGGUUACCGAAUUCAGAUAAACUCCGAAUGCCAUGUACUUAUACUCGGGAGUCAGACUGCGAGUGAUAAGAUCCGUAGUCGAAAGGGAAACAGCCCAGACCACCAGUUAAGGUCCCCAAAUAUAUGUUAAGUGGAAAAGGAUGUGGGGUUGCUUAGACAACCAGGAUGUUGGCUUAGAAGCAGCCACCAUUGAAAGAGUGCGUAAUAGCUCACUGGUCGAGUGACCCCGCGCCGAAAAUGUACCGGGGCUAAACAUAUUACCGAAACUGUGGAUGAACCUCUUUAGAGGUUCGUGGUAGGAGAGCGUUCUAAGGGCGGUGAAGUCAGACCGGAAGGACUGGUGGAGCGCUUAGAAGUGAGAAUGCCGGUAUGAGUAGCGAAAGAAGGGUGAGAAUCCCUUCCACCGAAUAUCUAAGGUUU